AUUGAACGCUGGCGGCAGGCUUAACACAUGAAAGUCGAGCGAGCGGCGGACGGGUGAGUAAUGUCUGGGAAACUGCAUGAUGGAGGGGGAUAAUUACUGGAAACGGUAGCUAAUACCGCAUACCAUCAGAUGUGCCCAGAUGGGGUUAGCUAGUAUGUGGGGCAAUGGCUCACCUGGGCGACGAUCCCUAGCUGGUCUGAGAGGAUGACCAGCCAGACUGGAAUUGAGACCCGGUCCAGACUCCAACGGCAGGCAGCAGUGGGGAAGAUUGCACAGUGGGCGCAAGCCUGGUGCAGCCAUGCCGCGUGUGUGAAGAAGGCCUUCGGGUUGUAAAGCACUUUCAGCGAGGAGGCGUUACUCGCAGAAGAAGCACCGGCUAACUACGUGCCAGCAGCCGCGGUAAUAC
rnacentral:rRNA from 1 species